UACAGAGGUCUCAAGCGUUGUUCGGAUUCAUUGGGCGUAAAGGGUGCGUAGGUGGCGGGGUAAGUCAGGUGUGAAAUCUCGGGGCUCAACCCCGAAACUGCACUUGAUACUGCCUUGCUCGAGUAUUGGAGAGGAGAUUGGAAUUUACGGUGUAGCAGUGAAAUGCGUAGAUAUCGUAAGGAAGACCAGUGGCGAAGGCGAAUCUCUGGACAGUUACUGACACUGAGGCACGAAGGCCAGGGGAGCAAACGGG
rnacentral:rRNA from 1 species